rnacentral:rRNA from 2 species
UAUGGUUAUAAAAGAGGAGAGGAUACACCUGUACCCAUACCGAACACAGAAGUUAAGCUCUUCAUCGCUGAUGGUACUUAGACCGCA